AGAGUUUGAUCCUGGCUCAGGAUGAACGCUAGCUACAGGCUUAACACAUGCAAGUCGAGGGGAAACGAUAUUGGAAGCUUGCUUCCGAUAGGCGUCGACCGGCGCACGGGUGAGUAACGCGUAUCCAACCUGCCCACCACUUGGGGAUAACCUUGCGAAAGUAAGACUAAUACCCAAUGAUAUCUCUAGAAGACAUCUGAAGGAGAUUAAAGAUUUAUCGGUGAUGGAUGGGGAUGCGUCUGAUUAGCUUGUUGGCGGGGUAACGGCCCACCAAGGCGACGAUCAGUAGGGGUUCUGAGAGGAAGGUCCCCCACAUUGGAACUGAGACACGGUCCAAACUCCUACGGGAGGCAGCAGUGAGGAAUAUUGGUCAAUGGGCGAGAGCCUGAACCAGCCAAGUAGCGUGCAGGAUGACGGCCCUAUGGGUUGUAAACUGCUUUUAUAAGGGAAUAAAGUGAGUCUCGUGAGACUUUUUGCAUGUACCUUAUGAAUAAGGACCGGCUAAUUCCGUGCCAGCAGCCGCGGUAAUACGGAAGGUCCGGGCGUUAUCCGGAUUUAUUGGGUUUAAAGGGUGCGUAGGCGGACUGUUAAGUCAGCGGUGAAAGCGUGUGGCUCAACCAUACCACUGCCGUUGAAACUGGCGGUCUUGAGUGUAAACGAUGUAGGCGGAAUGUGAUGUGUAGCGGUGAAAUGCUUAGAUAUGUCACAGAACCCCGAUUGCGAAGGCAGCUUACAAGGAUACAACUGACGCUGAGGCACGAAAGCGUGGGUAUCAAACCAGGAUUAGAUACCCUGGUAGUCCACGCAGUAAACGAUGAAUACUAGCUGUUGGCGAUACAUGGUCAGCGGUAAAACCGAAAGUAUUAAGUAUUCCACCUGGGGAGUACGCCGGCAACGGUGAAACUCAAAGGAAAUUGACGGGGGCCCGCACAAGCGGAGGAACAUGUGGUUUAAUUCGAUGAUACGCGAGGAACCUUACCCGGGCUUGAAAGUUAGUGACGGACUUGGAAACAGGUCUUUCCUUCGGGACACGAAACUAGGUGCUGCAUGGUUGUCGUCAGCUCGUGCCGUGAGGUGUCGGCUUAAGUGCCAUAACGAGCGCAACCCUUGUUGUUAGUUGCCAUCGGGUAAUGCCGGGAACUCUAGCAAGACUGCUACUGUAAGGUAGAGGAAGGUGGGGAUGACGUCAAAUCAGCACGGCCCUUAUGUCCGGGGCGACACACGUGUUACAAUGGCAGGUACAGAGGGUUGCUACCAUGCGAGUGGAUGCUAAUCUCAUAAAACCUGUCUCAGUUCGGAUCGGAGUCUGCAACUCGACUCCGUGAAGCUGGAUUCGCUAGUAAUCGCGCAUCAGCCAUGGCGCGGUGAAUACGUUCCCUGGGCCUUGCACUCACCGCCCGUCA
rnacentral:rRNA from 1 species